CAGCAUUCCUCGUGUUCACCUCCGCGAGGGCGUCAUUUGCUCUGCGCUCAUUCAGUAGGAUAGUGCUCCUAUCCGUCCAAUCAAGUGGUUGCAAGUAUAUAGGUGGGCUGAUCAUGUGCAACUCCACUGCCCAAAUACCCUGCAUGAGAUUCUGAAUGGUGUAGUCGAAUCUUCGCUCCCAAACUUGGUUAAAGAAGUUCUCUCUAUCUCUCACAUUAUGCUCGGUCGGUAUUCCUAGCGCAGAACC
rnacentral:lncRNA from 1 species